rnacentral:rRNA from 1 species
ACUCCUACGGGAGGCAGCAGUGGGGAAUAUUGCACAAUGGGCGCAAGCCUGAUGCAGCCAUGCCGCGUGUAUGAAGAAGGCCUUCGGGUUGUAAAGUACUUUCAGCAGUGAGGAAGGUGGGUAUGUUAAUAGCAUAUUCAUUUGACGUUAGCUGCAGAAGAAGCACCGGCUAACUCCGUGCCAGCAGCCGCGGUAAUACGGAGGGUGCGAGCGUUAAUCGGAAUUACUGGGCGUAAAGCGCAUGCAGGUGGUUUGUUAAGUCAGAUGUGAAAGCCCGGGGCUCAACCUCGGAAUUGCAUUUGAAACUGGCAAACUAGAGUACUGUAGAGGGGGGUAGAAUUUCAGGUGUAGCGGUGAAAUGCGUAGAGAUCUGAAGGAAUACCGGUGGCGAAGGCGGCCCCCUGGACAGAUACUGACACUCAGAUGCGAAAGCGUGGGGAAGCAAACAGGAUUAGAUACCCUGGUAGGC